rnacentral:rRNA from 1 species
GGAGUUAGCCGGUGCUUCUUCUGUGAGUGAUGUCCUUCCUGCCGGCUAUUAACCCGCAGGCCUUCUUCCUCACUGAAAGUGCUUUACAACCCGAAGGCCUUCUUCACACACGCGGCAUGGCUGGAUCAGGGUUGCCCCCAUUGUCCAAUAUUCCCCACUGCUGCCUCCCGUAGGAGUCUGGGCCGUGUCUCAGUCCCAGUGUGGCUGAUCAUCCUCUCAGACCAGCUACGGAUCGUCGCCUUGGUGAGCCGUUACCUCACCAACCAGCUAAUCCGACAUAGGCUCAUCCGAUAGCGCGAGGCCCGAAGGUCCCCCGNUUUCCCCCGUAGGGCGUAUGCGGUAUUAGCCUGGGUUUCCCCAGGUUAUCCCCCACUACCGGGCAGAUUCCUAUGCAUUACUCACCCGUCCGCCGCUCGCCACCAGGGAGCAAGCUCCCCGUGCUGCCGCUCGACUUGCAUGUGUUAGGCCUGCCGCCAGCGUUCAAUCUGAGCCAGAAUCGAAACCUCGACGUCGUAGACGGGCGGUCGGCGGACGACGGCGACUAG